CUAGCAUAAAACAGAAAACGUAAAAAUUUUUCUGAAAUUUUGGCUGAAACAAAACUGAAAAUAGAGUAGAGCAUGUCUCUACUUUUUACGCCGAAAAAUUUUUACGCCAAAAUUCCUCCAAUAAAGAGAAGUCUUUCCUGUGACGUCGAAGUAGACACGUGGUUUUUAUUCUAACAAUGGCGGCAAUGAGGGUUAACCCUACAAUUGUGAUGGUCUCGAAAAAACGAAAAAUAAAUGAAAUAGAGGAGUUUAUUGAAUCCGUUCGACCAAAUCAGUGUCAUGUAUAAAGACACUGUAUUUAAACAACGUUUAUGGAUGGCUACAGGUGUUAAAUUUCAAAUAACAGCAGAGGAAGUGUAGAAAAAAUGGAAGGUACAAAGGAAUAGAUAGCCUAUAUGAGAGGAAAAAAUUAAUAAAAUUAGUACUGUUGGUGGCAGUGGUGUUUUCUAUUCGGCCAGAAUUUUUACGUAUGUGUGUUCUGGCAUAAAAGCGUAAAA